rnacentral:rRNA from 1 species
CAGUAGCCACGGGAAUACGGAGGGGGCUAGCGUUGUUCGGAAUUACUGGGCGUAAAGCGCACGUAGGCGGAUAUUUAAGUCAGGGGUGAAAUCCCAGAGCUCAACUCUGGAACUGCCUUUGAUACUGGGUAUCUUGAGUAUGGAAGAGGUGAGUGGAAUUCCGAGUGUAGAGGUGAAAUUCGUAGAUAUUCGGAGGAACACCAGUGGCGAAGGCGGCUCACUGGUCCAUUACUGACGCUGAGGUGCGAAAGCGUGGGGAGCAAACAGGAUUAGAUACCCGUGUAGUCCCUGUCUCUUAUAC